GGAAUUCUGCGCAAUGGGCGAAAGCUUGACGCAGCAACGCCGCGUGGAGGAAGAAGGCCUUCGGGUCGUAAACUCCUGUCCUCGGGGACGAAGAAAGUGACGGUACCCGGGAAGGAAGCCCCGGCUAACUACGUGCCAGCAGCCGCGGUAAUACGGGGGGGGCGAGCGUUGUUCGGAAUUACUGGGCGUAAAGGGCGCGUAGGCGGCCCGAGAAGUUCUGGGUGAAAGCCCCCGGCUCAACCGGGGAAGGGCCUGGAAAACCAUCGGGCUGGAGUGCUGGAGAGGCAAGCGGAAUUUCUGGUGUAGCGGUGAAAUGCGUAGAUAUCAGAAGGAACACCUGCGGCGAAGGCGGCUUGCUGGACAGACACUGACGCUGAGGCGCGAAAGCCAGGGGAGCAAAC
rnacentral:rRNA from 1 species